rnacentral:tRNA from 1 species
CAGUAGCUCAGCUGGAUAGAGCAACGGCCUUCUAAGCCGUGGGUCGGGGGUUCGAAUCCCUUCUG